UCGUGGUGGUCGGGCUCUUCGUGCUCCGGGCGCUCAUGCCGCUCGGUGAGGCGCUCACCCCGCCCACCGCGGUGCGCGACUUCGUGACCCUGAC
rnacentral:tRNA from 1 species